CUGUAAACCAACUGGUUAGUUUAAAUUACCGAGCGCACUUACCCGCCCUGGUGCUCUUUACUGAGUGUCGAGGAGGGCCGGCACAUUUACUGUGCACAAAUUAGAGUGCUCAAGGCAGGCAAAAUUACGCCUAAAUAGUGGUGCAUGGAAUAAUAGAAUAAGACUUUGGUUUUAUUUUGUUGGUUUUUUGAACCUAAGGUAAUGAUCAAUAUGGACGGUCGGGGGCAUUCGUAUUGCGACGUUAGAGGUGAAAUUCUUGGAUCGUCGCAAGACGCACAAGAGCGAAAGCAUUUGCCAAGUACGUCUUAAUUGAUCAAGAACGAAAGUUAGAGGCUCGAAGGCGAUCAGAUACCGCCCUAGUUCUAACCAUAAACGAUGUCAGCCAGCGAUCCGUCGGAGUUUAUAUCAUGACUCGACGGGCAGCUUCCGGGAAACCAAAGCUUUUGGGUUCCGGGGGAAGUAUGGUUGCAAAGCUGAAACUUAAAGGAAUUGACGGAAGGGCACCACCAGGUGUGGAGCUUGCGGCUUAAUUUGACUCAACACG
rnacentral:rRNA from 1 species